rnacentral:misc_RNA from 1 species
CUCUAUUCCAGCAGCCGCGGUAAUACGUUCCCGGGCCUUGUCCACACCGCCCGUCACAUCACGAAAGUCGGUUGCACUAGAAGUCGGUGGGCUAACCCGCAAGGGAGGCAGCCGCCUAAAGUGUGAUCGGUAAUUGGGGUGAAGUCGUAACAAGGUAGCUGUAGGAGAACCUGCGGCUGGAUCACCUCCUUUCUAAGGAGCAUCUCCGCCUCGGAUCAAAACGAGGUCGUGAAGGAGCUUCCUAGGUCGAAAGGAAUCUGCCUGGCAGCAAUGCCGGCAAGCGUUUGUCCUCGACCGUCUUUCCUGUUCAGUUUUCAGAGAACCGUCCCCGUGGGUUCUAUGACAAUCGACGUUGCUGCGGAAGGUGGCUGGCAGGAUCGGCUAUCGAUCGACACGACAUACCGGGUGCGGGCCUAUAGCUCAGUUGGUUAGAGCGCACGCCUGAUAAGCGUGAGGUCGGUAGUUCAAAUCUACCUAGGCCCACCAUUUGGAACGAUGAGCGCGGAACGAUGAACGAUGAACGCCAUGCCGGUCAUCGCCUGUCGUGCAACGUUCAUCCUCUUCUGAUCUCCUGGGGCUGUAGCUCAGCUGGGAGAGCACCUGCUUUGCAAGCAGGGGGUCGUCGGUUCGAUCCCGAUCAGCUCCACCAAUUCCUUCCUCUUCAUCCCGAACCAAGUCGGGCCGGAAUGCACCGUAGCUCCUUUCGGUUGAAGGAGUUACCGCAGCAAACGAUAACGAAACAGCCGCGCGGGCAAGCGGUGGGCACAAUCGUCUCCGAUUGCGUUCAGCGUUGGUCUUCGCGACCGCGGAGUUCCUUGACAAUUGAUAUGGGUAA